GUUCUCUCGUGGCUCAGUUUGUUCGAGUGUCAGACUCAUAAUCGAAAGGUCGCGAGUUCGAAACCCGCCCAGGACA